rnacentral:lncRNA from 1 species
GUUAUCUGGACGCUGCUGUUAUUGUUUCUGAAUCCCGGAACUGGGGCCUGACUCCCUAGAGAGACUGAGGGUGCCGAGAUGAGUUUCCAGUGCUGACCAGUGCAGCUGUAUUUUGCUAAAAGGUGUUUGGGGUGUUUUUUUUUUCUAACCUUUCCCCCGUUUUCUCUUCUCACCUUUUUAUUUUUACCCAUUUUUCGUCUUGCUGUUUUUUCAGUUAGAAGUGGGUGCUGUCAGUGGUGAAAUAAAAUUAGGACCGAAGCCUUUCCAGUUGGUGCUUACUCAGUCCGUGCUGACCCAUGGUCAGGGCUUGGAGCAGAGCUGUAAGGGAGGGCGGAGUCCUCCAGUAGAGGUGAGGCAAGAGCUGCAUUCUGGCAGGGUUUCCAGCCUGGCAGACGACGUGCUCUGUAAUGCUUUUCUGAAUUGCCUUAGCCAGAAGGAAUAGGGAACUGCAUAUUUCGUUUACUAGAUUUGAGGAUGUCUGCUAUGUGCCACGCUGUCUGGCAUUGGGAGCGAUUUAUGAUUUGCUUCUCUAUCAUUUACUUACUGUUUUUGCUCAGCAGUAAGAAUUGAGGACUUCCUGUGAACAUCUAGCAUGCAAACCUAUGCAAAACAGUAUUUGGGAUCCAUAGGUAAGGUCUUCUCCAAAUCCUUAAAGAUUGUCUUGUAUGAAUUCUGUUAUAGGUCAUUGCGGAGUGGAUCAAAGCAGAAAUAAGCCUCUCGGGCCAGCCCAAGACUUCACUGAAAGCAGUAACAUACCUAAAGCAGGAAUGCCUCAAUCAGGAAUUUAGCCAAGAAACAAACAAACAAAAAAAGCCUGGGAAGUAAAUAAUUUGGCAAGAUCCCUGUCUAAAGGGAAAGUCUCCUGAGCAGGUACAAAACCUAUCUUGUUCUAAUAGUGGAGGUAGUUUGGUCUAUCAAAGUUUUAUGUGAUUCUAUUAAGUCAUACAACUAAACCUAUUAUUCCUUUACUUUUCUCAAUAAGUGCAGUUCUGAAUAUUAUUUUAAUUUCCAUAUGGUUUUUCUACAAUGAGAGAACGGCUUGGCCAAAUGAAAUAAAUAGCCAUUUCCUAUGACAAUUACAUUUUUCACUGUAAAUUAAUACAUUGGUAUUUUUAUUUUUAUUUUUUUAAAAAAAUUUUUUUUUUCAACGUUUUUUAUUUAUUUUUGGGACAGAGAGAGACAGAGCAUGAACGGGGGAGGGGCAGAGAGAGAGGGAGACACAGAAUCGGAAACAGGCUCCAGGCUCUGAGCCAUCAGCCCAGAGCCAGACGCGGGGCUCGAACUCACGGACCGCGAGAUCGUGAUCUGGCUGAAGUCGGACGCUUAACCGACUGCGCCACCCAGGCGCCCCUAUUUUUAUUUUUAUACACAAGCUUCUAAUGAACAUGAUUCAGCAUGUCUGGUCCAGUAAUGCAAAGGCCGGACCCUAAACUAAGUGAAUUCACAAAAGAUAAAUACUGCUCUGAGGCCUUUUGGCCAGCAUGUUUUCUAACUCCCCAAUUUUGCAACACCUUCCAACCUCUUUUGCACUGAAAGGAAUUUCUGCAUACAGUCAAGGAUUAAAACAUGGUGAAGAGGGGCACUUGGGUGGCUCAGUCGGUUGAGCGUCCGACUUCAGCUCAGGUCAUGAUCUCAUAGUCCAUGAGUUCGAGCCCCACGUUGGCCUCUGUGCUGACAGCUCAGAGCCUGGAGCCUGUUUCAGAUUCUGUGUCUCCCUCUCUCUGCCCCUUCCCUGCUCAUGCUCUGUCUCUCUCUGUCUCUCAAAAAUGAAUAAACAUUAAAAAAAAAUUUAAAAAGAAAAAACAUGGUGAAAAUUUGGGGACUUUUGUAACUUAUUUCUAAUUAUUAGUAAAACCCUUAAAGAAGAUUCUGCACUUUAUUUCAGUAAAGCAAAGAGGGCAGAACAAGGGCAUUCCACUCUUAGGAAAAGAACCUCAGGGAUGGGGGCUUUUCUUUCUAUUCUGCCCCUGAAGAAAAGGAAAGCACCUGAAGCUGGCCUGGUUCUGAAGAAUAAUAUUAAGCCUUAAGAUGACUUCCCAACAGUUAACAAGAACAGUAUUUUAAAAAAAGGAAAAACCUAAGAAGAAAAUCUUGGGGAUGUCUGUAUCAUCAAGGAAGAAAAAAGCUUUAAGAAAGCAUUAAUAAAUAAGGCCCAAUGAUGCAGAAUCAUGAGAAGGGUUUAAGAAAAGGCCUCUCGAUUUGUUAACUAGAAUAAUAUUAGUUAUUUUGUUUGACUGCUUUUUAUUUAAAAAAUUUUUCUUUUUUU